GAUGAACGCUGGCGGCGUGCUUAACACAUGCAAGUCGAACGAAGCACUUUUUAAACAAUCUUUCGGGGUGCGUUUUUAAGUGACUUAGUGGCGGACGGGUGAGUAACGCGUGGGUAACCUGCCUUAUGCAGGGGGAUAACAGUUAGAAAUGACUGCUAAUACCGCAUAAGCGCACAGUAUCGCAUGAUACAGUGUGAAAAGAUUUAUUCGGUAAAGGAUGGGCCCGCAUCUGAUUAGCUAGUUGGUGAGAUAACAGCCCACCAAGGCAACGAUCAGUAGCCGACCUGAGAGGGUGAUCGGCCACAUUGGGACUGAGACACGGCCCAAACUCCUACGGGAGGCAGCAGUGGGGAAUAUUGCACAAUGGGGGAAACCCUGAUGCAGCAACGCCGCGUGAAGGAUGAAGGUUUUCGGAUCGUAAACUUCUAUCAACAGGGACGAAUAAAUGACGGUACCUGAAUAAGAAGCCCCGGCUAACUACGUG
rnacentral:rRNA from 1 species